rnacentral:lncRNA from 1 species
CCUGUGCCCUCUUGGCUACUGGUUUUCCUAAAGUCUUGUGGCCCUACAAUUCUCCUUUCUGCCAGGGUUCUUUCCCUGACCACUUCACUAACAUUCAGUUCUGUCUUUCUGUGUCUCACAGGAGUCCUUCCAUCCAAAGCCCUCAAGAAACCACGGAAUCAAAUGCACUCACUCACAUGGAGUUAGAAAAAAUAGAUGGUGAUGAGACAUCUGUUGAUGGAGAUUUAGUCUAUUCAGAGGUCUGGAGUACACAGCAGGGAAAAGAAGAUGCAGGUGAGACACAGGGAGUAACUCUGACCAAAGACUACUUUUGUUGGAGCUGAGAGAAUGGG